rnacentral:rRNA from 1 species
UACGAAGGGGGCUAGCGUUGCUCGGAAUCACUGGGCGUAAAGGGUGCGUAGGCGGGUCUUUAAGUCGGUGGUGAAAGCCCCGGGCUCAACCUGGGAAUGGCCAUGGAAACUGGCGAACUGGAGUGUGGCAGAGGGGGGUGGAAUUCCGCGUGUAGCAGUGAAAUGCGUAGAGAUGCGGAGGAACACCGAUGGCGAAGGCAGCCCCCUGGGCUAGCACUGACGCUCAGGCACGAAAGCGUGGGGAGCAAACAGG